AGCAGCCGCGGUAAUUCCAGCUCCAAUAGCGUAUAUUAAAGUUGUUGCAGUUAAAAAGCUCGUAGUUGAAUUUCGGGAUUGGCGUGUCGGUCGUGCCUUACGGGGUAUGAACUGGCAUCGUCGAUUCUCACCUUCUGGAGAAUCACGAUGCCCUUAAUUGGGUGUCGUGUGGAUCCAGGACCUUUACCUUGAAAAAAUUAGAGUGUUUAAAGCAGGCAUAUUGCUCGAAUACAUUAGCAUGGAAUAAUAAAAUAGGACGGCUUGGUUCUAUUUUGUUGGUUUCUAGGAUCACCGUAAUGAUUAAUAGGGAUAGUUGGGGGCAUUAGUAUUCAAUUGUCAGAGGUGAAAUUCUUGGAUUUAUUGAAGACUAACUACUGCGAAAGCAUUUGCCAAGGAUGUUUUCAUUAAUCAAGAACGAAAGUUAGGGGAUCGAAGACGAUCAGAUACCGUCGUAGUCUUAACCAUAAACUAUGCCGACUAGGAAUCAGACGAUGUUAAUUUUUUAAUGACUCGUUUUAC
rnacentral:rRNA from 1 species